AUUGAACGCUGGCGGCAGGCCUAACACAUGCAAGUCGAACGAGUGGCGGACGGGUGAGUAAUGUCUGGGAAACUGCCCGAUGGAGGGGGAUCACUACUGGAAACGGUAGCUAAUACCGCAUACCAUCGGAUGUGCCCAGAUGGGAUUAGCUAGUAGGUGGGGUAACGGAUCACCUAGGCGACGUUCCCUAGCUGGUCUGAGAGGAUGACCAGUCACCCUGGAAAUGAGACACGGUCCAGAAACCUACGGGAGGCAGCAGUGGGGAAUAGUGAAAAAUGGGCGAAACCCGGAUGCAGCCAUGCCGCGUGUAUGAAGAAGGCCUUCGGGUUGUAAAGUAAUUUCAGCGAGGAGGAGUUACUAGCAGAAGAAGCACCGGCUAACUCCGUGCCAGCCGCCGCGGUAAUAC
rnacentral:rRNA from 1 species